rnacentral:rRNA from 1 species
GAUGAACGCUGGCGGCGUGCCUAAUACAUGCAAGUCGAGCGAACGGACGAGAAGCUUGCUUCUCUGAUGUUAGCGGCGGACGGGUGAGUAACACGUGGAUAACCUACCUAUAAGACUGGGAUAACUUCGGGAAACCGUAGCUAAUACCGGAUAAUAUUUUGAACCGCAUGGUUCAAAAGUGAAAGACGGUCUUGCUGUCACUUAUAGAUGGAUCCGCGCUGCAUUAGCUAGUUGGUAAGGUAACGGCUUACCAAGGCAACGAUGCAUAGCCGACCUGAGAGGGUGAUCAGCCACACUGGAACUGAGACACGGUCCAGACUCCUACGGGAGGCAGCAGUAGGGAAUAUUCCGCAAUGGGCGAAAGCCUGACGGAGCAACGCCGCGUGAGUGAUGAAGGUCUUCGGAUCGUAAAACUCUGUUAGUUGGGAAGAACAGAUGUGUAAGUAACUGUGCACAUCUUGACGGUACCUAAUCAGAAAGCCACGGCUAACUACGUG